GCUACGGGAUGCAGCAGUGAGGAAUAUUGGUCAAUGGACGCGAGUCUGAACCAGCCAAGUAGCGUGAAGGAUGACUGCCCUAUGGGUUGUACACUUCUUUUAUAAAGGGAUAAAACGAGGCACGUGUGCCUUUUUGCAUGUACUUUAUGAAUAAGGAUCGGCUAACUCCGUGACAGCAGCCGCGGUAAUACGGAGGAUCCGAGCGUUAUCCGGAUUUAUUGGGUUUAAAGGGAGCGUAGAUGGGUUGUUAAGUCAGUUGUGAAAGUUUGCGGCUCAACCGUAAAAUUGCAAUUGAUACUGGCAGUCUUGAGUACAGUUGAGGUAGGCGGAAUUCGUGGUGUAGCGGUGAAAUGCUUAGAUAUCACGAAGAACCCCGAUUGCGAAGGCAGCUUACUAAACUGUGACUGACAUUGAUGCUCGAAAGUGUGGGUAUCAAACAGGAUUAGAUACCCUAGUAGUC
rnacentral:rRNA from 1 species